rnacentral:rRNA from 1 species
ACGGGUGAGUAGUGCAUAGGGAUCUACCUUGUGGACUGGGAUAACUUGAGGAAACUUAAGCUAAUACCGGGUAAGCUCUAGGGAGGAAAGUGUGGGACAGGCGACUGCCACACGUCAUAAGAUGAACCUAUGUCGGAUUAGCUAGUUGGUGAGGUAAGGGCUUACCAAGGCUAUGAUCCGUAGCUGGUCUGAGAGGACGGACAGCCACACUGGGACUGAGACACGGCCCAGACUCCUACGGGAGGCAGCAGUGGGGAAUAUUGGACAAUGGGGGCAACCCUGAUCCAGCGAUGCCGCGUGUGCGAAGAAGGCCUGUGGGUUGUAAAGCACUUUGGUUGGGGAAGAAGUGGCGAAGUCGAAGAGGCUUUGUUAUUGACGUUACCCAAGAAACAAGCACCGGCUAACUCUGUGCCAGCAGCCGCGGUAAUACAGAGGGUGCAAGCGUUAAUCGGAAUUACUGGGCGUAAAGGGCGCGUAGGCGGUAAAUUAGGUUAGAGGUGAAAUUCCUGGGCUCAACCUGGGCAUUGCCACUAAGACUGAUUUGCUAGAGUAGGGUAGAGGGAAGUGGAAUUUCCGGU